rnacentral:tRNA from 1 species
UGCUUAGAUGGACCUUUAUCAGUCCCACGAGCA